CUUGUCGCUUGGCAAAGCAGCUGGACUUAUUAGCAAUGGACUAUACUCUUCUUGGGAACUACCUGUGAAUCCAGAGAAUCAAGGUGGGUGGUUUUAGAAGUUCAGCUUUAUUACAUUCUCACUUCCAGUUAGUCUCACUAGUUGGCCCAUGAGCACCCUGUAUAGUCUUGCUACUUGGUGCCCUCGAGUACGUAUAUAGACACAAUUUUUCUGCAAAUUACUAACAUAUUGCAGAAAGUGAGAAAACAAUCAAUACUAGCUGAAGCUAUAACAACUAAAUACAUCAGCAAAUAAACGACGAUUUAGAGUCAUAAAAAUCUUCAGAUCAGUUAUAAACUCACUAAUUAUACUAUCUUAUUUACCAAUCUAAAUGACAUUUCGGCAAGUUGGAAGUGAUUUUGGUUCUAGAAAUGGACUCGAUGAGGCAACUUUUUUACGUAGUAGAAAACCCUAUGCAUAUUUCAAAAAAUUCAUUUACAAAAUCAAGGUGUUGGCCAGUUUAGCUUU
rnacentral:lncRNA from 1 species